GACAAUCUAGGUAAUUUCCUUUAGGAAUCGAUGCAAAAUGUUUCACUGAUCAUCAUCUAAUAUGGUAAAACUCUUAUUUUCCUACAUCCAUAAUAGUGUAUUUAUAAACAAGAAUUAGGAUUGAGGAGGAGGACAAACUAAUGAUCUAACCAGCUAAUGACACCCAUUAUGGGUGUCCCGAACCAAUAUCUAUUUCCAAUAAUUAGAAUGUAAGGAAUGCUAUUAUAUGAGAAAGAAUAUUCAUGAUUUCAUCGACUCAUCGACAGGGUCAAUCAAAAAAUAAGAUUGGAAAGUGAAUAAUCACUUUCCAAAUUUCAAUUGUAAUACAUGGGAACUCCUCUAUGAAUGAAGAAUUGAAGCUAUAAUUCAUAUUUCCAUGAGGUCAGGCAAUAGAUAAAUGGGAACUCCUCUAUGAUGACUUUGUUUUGGAAUUUGGCGAAAGCAAAUAACCAAUCGAAUUGACAUUAGAAUUCAUAAGUCAUUUCAGAAAAUGAAAUAUGAUGUUAAUUUCUGUCUUGUAAAUGCUUUGACUAAUCAAAUGGCUGAUGAAAACUAGUUUGAUAAUCUUAUGACUGAUGAUUUUCACAUUGAUGAUCUAUUUUCGCUUUGAAACUAUAUAUGAAGUCUAUGAAAGUGAAAAUAGAAUUUUUUAUUUGAAAUUUUUAUUGUCAAAUACUAAUUUUUAAACAAAAAUAGAAAAUUCAGAAAAAAAUAAAAUAUUCUCGUGGCCAAAUGAGUCUGACAGACCAUCACUGAGUCCAAAUAUUUCUUUCAGAUCACUAAACUACAUGUAAAGAUGACAUAGAAAGCGAAAAUUGUUAGAAAAUAUCCUACGUACCUUUUAUUUUACUUCCCCGGAGAACAACUAAUCAUUUUUCCGCUCAAGGCUGUUAGAAGACUAGGAUUCAUGUUGGAAGAGUAGUGAGCAUGAGCUUACACUCAUAUAGCGGCAAGAACUUGUAACCUUGUCA
rnacentral:lncRNA from 1 species